rnacentral:rRNA from 1 species
AUACGGAGGGUCCGAGCGUUAAUCGGAAUUACUGGGCGUAAAGCGCGCGUAGGUGGUUCAGUCAGUCAGAUGUGAAAGCCCCGGGCUCAACCUGGGAACUGCACCUGAUACUGCUGAGCUAGAGUACGGUAGAGGGCAGUGGAAUUUCCGGUGUAGCGGUGAAAUGCGUAGAGAUCGGAAGGAACACCAGUGGCGAAGGCGACUGCCUGGACUGAUACUGACACGGAGGUGCGAAAGCGUGGGUAGCAAACAGGAUUAGAUACCCUGGUAGUCCACGCCGUAAACGAUGUCAACUAGCCGUUGGGGGACUUUAUCCUUUAGUGGCGAAGCUAACGCGAUAAGUUGACCGCCUGGGGAGUACGGCCGCAAGGUUAAAACUCAAAUGAAUUGACGGGG